rnacentral:snoRNA from 1 species
CUCUCCCACAAAGGCGUCUCGGUGGUCUCCUCUCCUGGGACACGUAAGAAAUGGAGGCAAAGUGAUGUAGACUUGGAGAAGUCUGGAGCCCGCUUGCUCCCCUCAGGCUCCAUGUCAUCCUUUCCCACACAG